rnacentral:rRNA from 1 species
GUAAUGCCUAGGAAUCUGCCUGGUAGUGGGGGACAACGUUUCGAAAGGAACGCUAAUACCGCAUACGUCCUACGGGAGAAAGCAGGGGACCUUCGGGCCUUGCGCUAUCAGAUGAGCCUAGGUCGGAUUAGCUAGUUGGUGAGGUAAUGGCUCACCAAGGCGACGAUCCGUAACUGGUCUGAGAGGAUGAUCAGUCACACUGGAACUGAGACACGGUCCAGACUCCUACGGGAGGCAGCAGCCU